AUAAGCCCUCGAGUAACUUCGUAAAUGUUUAGUGAAAAAGAACUGUCUUCGGUGCUUGUUAGGUUUGUUUUAGAAUAGUUUAUCGAGGAUGAUGUCUAAGAAUUUUGGUAUUUCUUUACUAGUGGCAUUAUUAAUCGUAACUCAACUAUCAAAAGGCUCGGCUGAUCCACCUUCUGAUACAGGAAAUACAACAGAUAGCUUUGUCCUCAUUGGCUCUAAUAGAGUAUUCACUUCGACGUCUGGUAAUGAGAGUACAGAUACACCUACAAGUAUUUUGGCAUACAAUGAUCGUGGUGACUUCGCCUUUAGCUCCAUUACAAGGUAGAUAUGUGAAGUAAAAUGAAGAACGGGACCACUGAUGUCAUAUGCAAAAUGUUUAAAAACUUAAUGAAUAUCGAAUUGUGUAAAAUUAAAAAAAAACUUCUGAUAAUAUAUAAAAUUGCAAAAUUGUUGCUUAAUGUACAUAUAUAAAAUAAUAAAAAAAUAACUUAGUAAUUCCAGUUAACUGGAUCUGUGUGAGUCACAA